AUGAUAGCUUGCUAUCAGGCGUCGAGCGGCGGACGGGUGAGUAAUACUUAGGAAUCUACCUAGUAGUGGGGGAUAGCACGGGGAAACUCGUAUUAAUACCGCAUACGACCUACGGGAGAAAGGGGGCAGUUUACUGCUCUCGCUAUUAGAUGAGCCUAAGUCGGAUUAGCUAGAUGGUGGGGUAAAGGCCUACCAUGGCGACGAUCUGUAGCUGGUCUGAGAGGAUGAUCAGCCACACCGGGACUGAGACACGGCCCGGACUCCUACGGGAGGCAGCAGUGGGGAAUAUUGGACAAUGGGGGAAACCCUGAUCCAGCCAUGCCGCGUGUGUGAAGAAGGCCUUUUGGUUGUAAAGCACUUUAAGCAGUGAAGAAGACUCCGUGGUUAAUACCCACGGACGAUGACAUUAGCUGCAGAAUAAGCACCGGCUAACUCUGUGCCAGCAGCCGCGGUAAUACAGAGGGUGCAAGCGUUAAUCGGAAUUACUGGGCGUAAAGGGAGCGUAGGUGGCUCUAUAAGUCAGAUGUGAAAUCCCCGGGCUUAACCUGGGAACUGCAUCUGAAACUGUAGAGCUAGAGUAUGUGAGAGGGAGGUAGAAUUUCAGGUGUAGCGGUGAAAUGCGUAGAGAUCUGAAGGAAUACCGAUGGCGAAGGCAGCCUCCUGGCAUAAUACUGACACUGAGGCUCGAAAGCGUGGGUAGCAAACAGGAUUAGAUACCCUGGUAGUCCACGCCGUAAACGAUGUCUACUAGUCGUUGGGUCC
rnacentral:rRNA from 1 species